rnacentral:rRNA from 1 species
GACGGGGGAUGCAAGUGUUAUCCGGAAUCACUGGGCGUAAAGCGUCUGCAGGUGGUUUCCUAAGUCCACUGUUAAACCUUGAGGCUCAACCUCAAAUCUGCAUUGGAAACUAGGAGACUUGAGUAUAGUAGGGGUAGAGGGAAUUUCCAGUGGAGCGGUGAAAUGCGUAGAUAUUGGAAAGAACACCGAUGGCGAAGGCACUCUACUGGGCUAUUACUGACACUGAGGCACGAAAGCUAGGGGAGCAAACAGG